GAUCGUAAAACUCUGUUGUCAGGGAAGAACAAGUACGGUAGUAACUGCCCGUACCUUGACGGUACCUGGCCAGAAAGCCACGGCUAACUACGUGCCAGCAGCCGCGGUAAUACGUAGGUGGCAAGCGUUGUCCGGAAUUAUUGGGCGUAAAGCGCGCGCAGGCGGCCUUUUAAGUCUGAUGUGAAAGCCCCCGGCUCAACCGGGGAGGGUCAUUGGAAACUGGAAGGCUUGAGUGCAGAAGAGAAGAGCGGAAUUCCACGUGUAGCGGUGAAAUGCGUAGAGAUGUGGAGGAACACCAGUGGCGAAGGCGGCUCUUUGGUCUGUAACUGACGCUGAGGCGCGAAAGCGUGGGGAGCGAACAGGAUUAGAUACCCUGGUAGUCCACGCCGUAAACGAUGAGUGCUAAGUGUUGGGGGGUUUCCGCCCCUCAGUGCUGCAGCUAACGCAUUAAGCACUCCGCCUGGGGAGUACGGCCGCAAGGCUGAAACUCAAAGGAAUUGACGGGGGCCCGCACAAGCGGUGGAGCAUGUGGUUUAAUUCGAAGCAACGCGAAGAACCUUACCAGGUCUUGACAUCCCGCUGACCGGUCUGGAGACAGAUCUUCCCCUUCGGGGGCAGCGGUGACAGGUGGUGCAUGGUUGUCGUCAGCUCGUGUCGUGAGAUGUUGGGUUAAGUCCCGCAACGAGCGCAACCCUUG
rnacentral:rRNA from 1 species